AGUCCCCUCGCCCCUCCCGCCCCUGCACGGGUCCCCCUCUAGCCGUCGCUGCAACCACCACCUCGGUUCCACUCAACCGAUUUUUGCUGCAUGUCAACACUUAUUACCGCUGUUACCUAAACAACAAACUAGACACACUUCACUGCAAACAGUGGGAAGAAUGGUGUUACCUUUGAUGAAACAUCCAUGGAACAUUUGCAUUUCAUGAGCAGCUUUAUGGUGAGAAAUUGAAACCUCCUGCCAACAGCCAUGUGAGUGAGCUUGGAAGCAGAUUCUCCAGCUCUUCAAAUAAUGGCAGCCCCAGAAAACAACUUAAAUGCAACCUCCUGAGAGUCUCUGAGCUAGAACUACCUAGCUAAACUGCUGUGAGAUUCUUCAACCUCAAAACUGGGAUGAGAUAACAAAUAUUUAUUGUUUUAAGGAAUCUUCAAAUGAUAAUUUUGAAAAGAGAAGCAGUCCUUUUCAUGAUGAAGAGAUGAGUUGUCAAAAGCCC
rnacentral:lncRNA from 10 species